GUGCCAGCAGCCGCGGUAAUACGGAGGGGGCUAGCGUUGUUCGGAAUUACUGGGCGUAAAGCGCACGUAGGCGGAUCAGAAAGUUGGGGGUGAAAUCCCCGGGGCUCAACCUCGGAACUGCCUUCAAAACUAUUGGUCUUGAGUUCGAGAGAGGUGAGUGGAAUUCCCGACGUGUAAGGACGGUUGAAACUCUNCGUAGAUAUUCGGAGGAACACCAGUGGCGAAGCGGCUCACUGGCUCGAUACUGACGCUGAGGUGCGAA
rnacentral:rRNA from 1 species